rnacentral:tRNA from 3 species
AUUUAGAUAGCUUAAAUUUUAGAGCGUUAUAUUGAAGAUAUAAAAGUAAUGAUUAUAAUUUCUAGAUA